GCAUGGCAGUGAUGAUAAAAACUUUCAGCUUAUAUGUCAGUUCUGCUUCUGAGAUUUCAUGACUGAAAAAGCUGUAGCAAAUCUGAGCCUUGA
rfam:Brachypodium distachyon strain Bd21 chromosome 1, whole genome shotgun sequence.